GGCUGGACAGUAAACUGUUUUUAAGAUAUUCUUCUGGCUCUAAGAGUCUCUGAUUCUGUGACAAUCAAGGAAAGUGUUAGUUUGUCUUUCCAACAUACUCACUGUGAAAGCCUUUGGUUCUUCUCUACAGGACUGAAGAGGAGGAGAAUGCUUGGAGCAGAGAUUACUUGACUUCCUGGCUGUUCGCAUCAUUACUGUAAUGGAAUCCGUCUCACGUGUCGCAGCACGAUGGCCCUCGCUCGGGUUCCUUGGGACCCUCGAACGCAAGCCAGCGGCUCUCAAGUUCACUGCUUCUGAAUCGAAGGAAGAGUGAGGCAAGAUUCAUUUUAGGAAUGAAAGUAAAGCAGAGAGCUCUGGAGUUGGCAGGGGUCCUGAGCAGACAUAUGAUGGAGCCCUGGCGUUCUAGGAUCCACCAAGUAUUCCCAAGCUAAGUCUCUACACGAAGAAAGACUGAAAAAUAAAAUGGCACAAGCUUGAUGCCAGAUUAUCGUUUCUGACAGCAAAACAUCAUAAAAUACUCAUUUUACCUACUCUUCUUUGCUUACAUACAGAGCAAACAGAUUCUCGUUCCAGUACUGAAAAUUUUUAAUUUCCAUUUUUAAAAAUAAUUUAAUAUUUAUUUAUUUUUAUGAGAGAGAGAGAGAAAUAGCGCACGAUAGA